rnacentral:lncRNA from 1 species
CUGACCGCAACACACAGCAGCAGCGAUGGGGGAGGAGAAGCGGCACCAGUUGAUGCAGAACCUAUUCGGUGAUCAAUCUGAAGAGGAAGAGGAAGAGGUUGAUUCCGAGCAUGAGUCCAAUCCCCAGCCCAAUUCUGUAUGAUUCUCUAAUUUCAAGUUUCCUAUCUAUUCUGAUUCCAAAAGCAUGUUUGGGAAUGAUAAGGGUUUCAAUUUCUGCUUUAAUCUUUUAGCUGAAGGAAGAUAUAGGUUGUUUUUCUGUUAAUGGCGGUGGAUGAUUUGGAUGAAAGUGUGAAUCUUGGCGAUUUUUUUUGCUUGCAGUUGUUUAGGCCUAACUCCGCCUAUGUCUUACAUGGCCGGUCCCAAGCCCGGAUAAAAGAGGAGGGGGAGGGCGUCAGGUAGUCGACAGCCGGCACUCCAUGAUCACGUCGAAUCCUUAUGAAAAUGAAUCCAGAACAAAAUCGCGCUAAAGCUAGGGCGUCACCCGUAAGUGGCGCGCUGUGUGGCCCGAGCACAGUGAUAAGUGAGCAAGGGUCGCUGUAUCUCCAUCGGCACCCGGAUGCAGUGUUAAAUGAGCAAGGGGGCCAUAGAAACUUCUUUUCGAACGACUCCACUCAAAGUUGUUUGGGAGCAUAUGCUCCUAUCAACUUUACCCGGGACACACAAAAGAAGUACUUUGAUCCUAUUAGACGGGGGAGGGUGAAGAAGCUAGGACAGAAGGGUAGAGUUUAAGAGAGCAAAAUGCGUUUAGGAACGUGGAAUAUAGGAACCUUAACGGGAAAAUCUAUGGAAGUAGUGGAAGUUAUGGUGAGGAGAAGGAUAAAUAUUAUGUGCCUACAAGAAAACUAAGUGGGUUGGUAGUAAGGCAAAGGAUCUAGAAAACUCAGGGUUUAAACUUUGGUAUUCGGGCACAAAUAGAACGAGAAACGGUGUUGGCAUCAUCGUGGACAAGACCUUGGUACAAGAUGUUGUAGAUGUCAAGAGGGUCGGAGAUAGAAUCAUGGCAAUCAAGAUUGUAAUAGGACAAGAACUUAUCAAUGUGAUUAGUGCGUACGCACCUCAAGUAGGGUUGGAUACGAGUUCAAAGGAGAAAUUUUGGGAAGAUCUUGGAGACUUGGUGCAAGGAAUUGCUCAGACGGAGAAGUUAUUUAUAGGAGGAGAUUUAAAUGGACACGUGGGCAGGGAGACAGGCAACUAUGGAGGUUUUCAUGGUGGCCAUGGUUUUGGGGAGAGAAACGAGGAUGGGGAAGCUAUCUUGGAUUUUGCAAUGGCAUAUGAUCUCUUCUUAGCCAACACCUUCUUUAAGAAGAGAGAAGAACAUGUGAUCACCUACAAGAGUGGAUCGUCAAAAACACAAAUAGAUUUUCUUCUAAUGAGGAAAGGGGAUCGUAUAACUUGUAAGGAUUGCAAAGUUAUACCAGGAGAGAGCGUGGCUAAUCAACAUCGCUUGUUGGUGAUGGAUGUACAUAUCAAAAGAGUAAGACAAAAGAACAAGACUUGGAAGUGCCCAAGGACUAGAUGGUGGAAUCUAAAAGAAGAAAAACAAGUCAUUUUCAAAGAGAAGGUAAUCACCCAAUGUGUGUGGAAUAGAGAGGGGGAAGCUAGCCAAAUGUGGGAUUCCAUGGCUAGUUGUAUCCGAAAAGUAGCAAAAGAGGUAUUAGGAGAGUCCAAGGGCUUUGCCCCACACCAAAAGGAAUCUUGGUGGUGGAAUGAGGAGGUACAAACAAAGGUGAAGGCUAAGAAGGAAUGCUGUAAAGCCUUAUACAAGGAGAGGACCGAUGAAAAUGGUGAAAGGUAUAGAAAAGCGAAGCAAGAGGCGAAGAAAGCUGUCAGAGAAGCUAAGUUAGCGGCUUACGACGAUAUGUAUAAACGACUAGAUACCAAAGAAUGAGAGUUGGAUAUCUAUAAACUAUCUAGAGCAAGGGAAAAGAAGACAAGGGACCUAAACCAAGUGAGGUGCAUCAAGGAUGAGGAUGGAAAGGUUCUUGCUACAGAGAACGCGGUUAAAGACAGAUGGAGAGGUUAUUUUCAUAAUCUUUUCAAUGAAGGACAUGAAAUGAGUGCUUCUUUAGGGGAGUUGAGUAACUCAGAAGAGUGUAGAAACUACUCUUUUUAUCGUCGAAUCCGGAAGGAAGAAGUGGUUGUAGCUUUGAAGAAGAUGAAGCAUAAAAAAGCAAUAGGCCCAGACGAUAUACCAAUUGAAGUGUGGAAACUUUUGGGAGAGACAGGUAUAACAUGGCUCACUGACCUUUUCAAUAGGAUUUUGAAAACGAAGAAGAUGCCAAAUGAGUGGCGAACGAGCACUUUGGUGCCUAUCUACAAGAAUAAAGGCGACGUACAAAAUUGCAUGAACUAUAGGGGUAUUAAGCUAAUGAGUCAUACAAUGAAGCUCUGGGAGAGAGUCAUUGAGCAUAGAUUGAGGCAAGAGACACGGGUUUCGGACAACCAAUUCGGGUUCAUGCCAGGGCGCUCAACCAUGGAGGCAAUCUAUCUUUUACGAAGAUUGAUGGAAAGAUAUAGAGAUGGGAAAAAAGAUUUACACAUGGUCUUUAUAGAUUUGGAAAAAGCGUAUGAUAGGGUCCCAAGAGACAUUCUUUGGAGGAUUUUAGAGAAGAAAUGAGUACGAGUAGCAUAUAUCCAAGCUAUAAAGGAUAUGUAUGAAGGAGCAAAGACUGCCGUAAGAACUCAUGAAGGACAAACCGAAAGCUUUCCCAUAACUGUAGGAUUACAUCAAGGCUCAUCCUUAAGUCCUUACCUUUUUACGUUGGUAAUGGAUGAGUUAACAGGACAUAUUCAAGAUGAUAUUCCUUGGUGUAUGCUUUUCGCAGACGAUAGAGUGUUGAUAGAUGAAACUCAGGAAGGGGUAAAUGCAAAGCUUAACCUUUGGAGAGAAGUGUUGGAAUCUAAAGGUCUUCGCCUAAGCCGAUCAAAGACAGAAUAUAUGGAGUGCAAGUUCAGUGCAAAUGGAGGCCAAAACGAGUUAGGGGUGAGGAUCGGAGAUCAAGAAAUACCAAAGAGCGACCGUUUUCGUUACCUAGGAUCUAUCUUGCAAAAGAACGGAGAAUUAGAUGGAGAUCUCAACCACCAUAGAAUACAAGCUGGAUGGAUGAAGUGGAAGAGUGCAUCCGGCGUGUUAUGUGACCGCCGUAUGCCACUGAAGCUCAAAGGAAAAUUUUAUAGGACGGCAAUAAGGCCGGCGAUGCUGUAUGGCACAGAAUGUUGGGCGGUGAAACAUCAACACGUACACAAAAUGGGUGUAGCGGAGAUGAGGAUGCUUCGUUGGAUGUGUGGGCACACGAGAAAGGAUAAGAUUAGGAAUGAGGAUAUCCGGGGUUAAAGUAGGAGUAGCCGAAAUUGAAGGAAAGAUGAGAGAAAUCGGUUACGGUGGUUUGGGACAUGUGUGGACAUGUGCAAGAAGGCCUACUGACGCUUCGAUUAGAAGAUGCGACUAUGGGACAGAGGUUCAGGGCCGAAGGGGUAGAGGAAGACCUAGGAAAACUUUGGAAGAGACUCUAAGAAAAGACUUAGAGUACUUGGAUCUAACGAAGGACAUGACACAGGAUCGAGCGCAAUGGCGUUCUAAGAUUCAUAUAGCCGAUCCCACUCAGUGACUUGGAUUUUCCAAGUCUCCAACCAAGAAGUUUUCCUCACUUGAAAAAUUAAGGGAACACUACCCCAACCUACAUGCUCCACUCAGAAAGCUUCAACAUACAAGCUUCAACAAAAGAAAAUUCAAAGAACUUAGCGAAGAAGGCUUUGGUGUAUUUAACACAAUACGUUGAAAUGAAGGAAAGCUUAUUUAUUGAUAUCCCCGAUAAGCUACAAAUAUGUCCAUAUACAUGAAUCAAAAUAAACACACAAGAGGGAGCCUUCACAAAGGUUGCUUAGGAGAAGUCUGAGCAGUCGGUAGAGCUCCAGAAAGAGAAGGCACCGGAGGGGGAUCAUUUGGAGCCUCAGUACUGGACAGAACCUUAGAAGGAGGAGGCAUCAGAGGUUGAUCAUUUGGAGCUUCAUUACGCACUACAGCCCCAGAAGACGAAGGCAAUAAAUGCCUUUGGAACAAACCCACAAAUCUCUGAUGAUCAAGUAAAACCUGACCAUCAGUUUCCUUCAUCUGGUCAAGCUUCCUCUUCAUGUUUGUAGCAUAGUCAUGUGCGAGCCGGUGCAACUGUUUAUUCUCAUGCUUGAGCCCCCUAAUCUCCUGUUUGAGACUCAUCACUUCAGCCGCCAAUGAUUCAACUUGGCGGGUUCGAGCAAAUAGGCGUUGGGCCAUAUUAGACACAGAACCUGCACACUGAACACUAAGAGCCAGCGAAUCCUUAACAGCUAACUCAUCAGACCGUUUGGAAAGUAGUCUGUUAUCUUUGGGAGUGAGAAGGUUCCUGGCCACCACCGCAGCGGUCAUAUCAUUCUUCAUCACGGAAUCCCCAACGGUAAGAGGACCAGUAGGGGAGACGAAGGAUGGGCGCCAUAUGUUGUCUGGAGAAGGCGGGGCUGCCUCUUCAACAAGGUUCAAGUCAAAACGACGGUCAGAGGGGCCAGACAUUUUCAAAGGUGUUGAAGAGAGAAGAGGUCGGACAAAUCAAGAUCUUAGAAGUGCAAGAAUGAAGCUUCUACUGGUGGAGAUUCAAGUGUGCUUUGGAACUUAAUGCUUGAUUUAGCCCCUAUAAAAAUCUGCACUCGACGGAGCUUCAGAUAUCGAAGAGGCGCCUGCUCAGAAAUCGAAGAGGCGCUUUUCUUUGAUUCGAAAGCUCAGGCUGGCUUUGAGAAUCAAAGAGAAUCUCAGAAAUCGAACAGGCGUUUGCUUUCUCAAAAGUUGGGGCUGCUCAAAGACCACGAAAGCCGAUCUCAGAAAUCGAAGAGGCGUUGCUUUCUCAACUUCAAAGACUCACGGGGCCGAUCUCAGAAAUCGAAGAGGCGCUCGCUUUCUCAAAAGCUGGGCUCCCAGAGACCACGAGGGCCGAUCUCAGUAAUCGAAAAGGCACCUACUUUUCCAACCUUGUCAGCACCUGUCACACGCACACUCAGCUUUGCGGAAAUUAUGGGCAUUCUGUCGAAGACUUCUGGGGAAGGUAGAAAACACAUGAAUCUUACUGUUCAAUCACCCACUUCCCACACGCAACAAUAGCUCAUGGGUACCGCAGAUAACUUUGCCAAAGUUCUCUGCCAAAGUUGAGCACGUGAAGCUUGCAGCUCCCACUACAUCGCUCUGACCAAGAAGGGUAAAAGAAUAGCAAAGAAACAGCACUAACAAAGUUUAGACCCAUAAAUUUUGAAGGUCUAGCUACCAUAUUAUUACCCACAAGGGUAAAGGAACAGUACCACUGCUGGAUAAUUGGAAAGUCCCUGUGUGUCAACCUCUGUGCUUCGCGGCAAGAUAGACUAGCAAACAUGCCCAACCUUUACUCACAUUCGAGAAAACACUCCCAAUAAGAUUGCUUGCUCCAAAAUCGAAGAGGCACCGUCCUCCGAAUCUCGAGAACUAAACUCCCAACAUGACUACUUUCUUAAAAAUCGAAGAGAGGGUAAAGGAACAGUACCAUUGCUGGAUAAUUGGAAAGUCCCUGUGUGUCAACCUCUGUGCUUCGUGGCAAGGUGGACUAGCAAACAUGCCCAACCUUUACUCACAUUCGAGCAAACACUCCCAACAAGAUUGCUUGCUCCAAAAUCGAAGAGGCACCGCCCUCCGAAUCUCGAGAGCCAGACUCCCAACAUGAUUACUUUCUCAAAAAUCGAAGAGACAUUGCUCCCCGAAUCUUCGAGAGCCAGACCCCCAGCAUGAUUGCUUUCUCAAAAUCGAUGAGGCAUCGUUCUCCGAAUCAAUCGAAGAGGCGCUCGCUUUCUCAAAAGCUGGGCUGCUCAUAGACCACGAGGGCCGAUCUCAGAAAUCGAAGAGGCACCUACUUUUCUAGCCUUGUCAGCAUCUGUCACACGCACACUCAGCUUUGCAGAAAUUAUGGGCAUUCUGUCGAAGACUUCUGGUGAAGUAGAAAGCACAUGAAUCUUACUGUUAAAUCACCCACUUCCCACACGCAGUAAUAGCUCAUGGGUACCACAGAUAACUUUGCUAAAGUUCUCUGCCAAAGUUGAGCACGUGAAGCUUGCAGCUCCCACUACAUCGCUCUGACCAAGAAAGGUAAAAGAAUAGCAAAGAAACAGCACUAACAAAGUUUAGACACAUAAAUUUUGAAGGUCUAGCUACCAUAUUAUUACCCACAAGUGUAAAGGAACAGUACCACUGCUGGAUAAUUGGAAAGUCCCUGUGUGUCAACCUCUGUGCUUCGUGGCAAGGUAGACUAGCAAACAUGCCCAACCUUUACUCACAUUCGAGAAAACACUCCCAACAAGAUUGCUUGCUCCAAAAUCGUAGAGGCACCGUCCUCCGAAUCUUGAGAGCCAGACUCCCAACAUGACUACUUUCUCAAAAUCGAAGAGAGGGUAAAAUAACAGUACCAUUGCUGGAUAAUUGGAAAGUCCCUGUGUGUCAACCUUUGUGCUUCGUGGCAAGGUAGACUAGCAAACAUGCCCAACCUUUACUCACAUUCGAGAAAACACUCCCAACAAGAUUGCUUGCUCCAAAAUCGAAGAGGCACCGCCCUCCGAAUCUCGAGAGCCAGACUCCCAACAUGAUUACUUCCUCAAAAAUCGAAGAGACACUGCUCUCCGAAUCUCGAGAGCCAGACCCCCAGCAUGAUUGCUUUCUCAAAAAUCGAAGAGGGCAUCGUUCUCCGAAUCUCGAGAGCCAGAUACCACAGACCAUUUUUUCAAAAGUGCUCUGACAGAGUUAAAACAUGUGAAACUGGCAGCUCCCACUACCGUGCUAUGACCAAACAGGGUAAAUGAAUAGCAUUACUACUUGUUGUUAGGAAGACUCCUAUAUAUGUCGACCCCCAUCCCCAACGGACAGGCAGACCUGCAAAAAUGCUCAACCCUUCAUCAUAUCUGAGAGGACACUCCCAACGAAGCCUUUCGAAAUAUUCAGCUUUCUUUCCCCCCGAUAAUACCUCUACAAACAAGCUAUACUAGAGCAAGAAUAUCUCAUAUCAUCAGGGUUAAAAGCAAGAGUAUCCCAUAUCAUGCUUUUUCCCUAUCUUUUCCUUUGGCCUUGUUUUUACCUGCAAGACAAGGAGAAAGAGAGCAAUCAGUCAGCACUUGGAAUCAAGCUUCCAGCCAGGAACUGACUGCCUGGAACCCCUUACCUGAUUACUUACCUGGCAUUGCUCUCGAGUACUCAUCUUCAACAUCUUAUGUUUCCAGGGAAGAUUCCGCAUCUGCUUGAGGAACAGAUAGGGCAAGUGCGAAGGAUAUAAGGAAGCAUGUGGAGACAAGCGUAACAGCACACGUGCCGAUACAUCCAUUACUCUGUCAAAAGCAAAAGUAUCCCAUAUCAGCAGGGUGGAACGUACUCUAGAUUUGAUGGACUUGUUUUGACCCUCAAAUUCUUCAGUCGGCCUUAUACUCUGGAGGAAACCAGAAAACCCUCCAGCUCAGUUCAAGAAUAAGCCUGUGGAAAGUUACUUCUUCAAAAGCAAAAGUAUCUCAUAUCAUCUCUUCUCAUUUUUCUUCUCUUUAUCCUUCAUGCUGCUGCAAGAUGGGGAGAAGGUGAACAAUCAAUCGGAGCUCUGAUUGCUUACCUUGUCUGUCACCUCUUUCAGCAGACUCCUUAGCUCGGCGACUUGGGGGACUCCUACUACAUGGUUUGUAUCGCGCUUGACCAAGCCUGAAACUACAAGUAAGCUUCAAGUGAAAUUGAUACAUUACCUUGUGCAUCUCCACCAGUUAAAGAUACCACCCCUGGAUGGAGGAAGAGUACUUCCAGAGAAGAUGCCACAUCUACCUAUGAGACAGAUAAGGCAAGUCAAGACAACACCAUACUCCGAUACUUAGAAGUUUCGUGAUUACGAGAUCAUUCUCACACAAUAUUUCCUAAUGUCAUUUGUACUAAAUCAUUCACUUGUACUCACUAAAGGAGAGCUUGAACCUAUGUACUUGUGUAAACCCUUCACAAUUAAUGAGAACUCUUCUAUUCCGUGGACGUAGCCAAUCUGGGUGAACCACGUACAUCUUGUGUUUGCUUUCCUAUCUCUAUCCAUUUAUAUAUUUAUCCACACUAAUGACCGGAGCAAUCUAGCGAAGAUCACAAAAAGCGACCGUUUUCGCUACCUAGGAUCUAUCUUGCAAGAGAACGGAGAAUUAGAUGGAGAUCUCAACCAUAGAAUACGAGCUGGAUGGAUUAAGUGUAAGAGUGCAUCCAGCGUGUUGUGUGACCGUCGUAGGCCACUGAAGCUCAAGGGAAAAUUUUAUAGGAUGGCAAUAAGGCCAGCGAUGUUGUAUGGCACAGAAUGUUGGGCGGUGAAGCAUCAACACGUACACAAAAUGGGUGUAGCGGAGAUGAGGAUGCUUCGUGGGAUGUGUGGGCACACGAGAAAGGAUAAGAUUGGGAAUGAGGAUAUCCGAGGUAAAGUAGGAGUAGCCGAAAUUGUAGGAAAGAUGAGAGAAAAUCGGCUCCGGUGAUUUGGACAUGUGCAAAGAAGGCCGACUGACGCUCCGGUUCGAAGAUGUGACUACGGGACAGAGGUUCAGGGCCAAAGGGGUAGAGGAAGACCUAGGAAAAUUUUGGAAGAGACUCUAAGAAAAGACUUAGAGUACUUAGAUCUAACGGAGGACAUGACACAAAACCGAGCGCAAUGGCGUUCUAGGAUUCAUAUAGCCGACCCCACUUAGUGGGAAAAGGCUUUGUUGUUGUUGUUGUUGUUGUUGCAGUUGUUUAGGCCUGGACUGAAGAAGUUUUGUAGAAUGAGAUUCUUAUGAGUAGUCAAUUUUAGUGGGAUUGUUGUUUCA